GCUCAAAUAGUUUUAAAUUUAAAACAUUAGUCUUGUAAACUAAAAAUAAGAAAAUCUCUUUUUGAACG
rnacentral:tRNA from 1 species